rnacentral:lncRNA from 1 species
AUGACACCCAUUGGGUGCCCUUGGCCAUGGUUGGGUCCCGGUGUCACCCACUGGGUCCCUGGGUCACCCAUGGGGUCCCUUUGCCCCCCAUUGGCUCCCCCCACCCCCCAACCCUCCCCGGUUGCCCCCAGACCCCCAAUUUUACCCCCCCGUCCCCCCCCCACCGCAGGGCUCACCCCGGAGCUGCGGGAGCUGCUGGCGGCCAUGUUGGAGCCGGACCCCCGGCGCCGCCCCACGGCCGAGGCCCUGCUGCAGACGGCGCCGCUGCGGCGCGCGGGGCGUUGGCGGCCCCUCACCCGCCUGGCCGACGAGGGGCUGCGCCGUGGGGCGCACCUGAUGGAGGGCUGCCGGGCCGCCCUGCGGUGGGUGUGGGGCGCGCUGUGGGGCACGCUGUGGGGCGCGCUAUGGGGCACGGUGCCCUGGCGGCGCCCCCCGGCCACCCCGCCACGCUCCCCACUGCCCCCCCGCGGCGUCCCCUGGGAUGAAGACGAGGAGGAGGAGGAGGAGGAGGAGGCGCGGUGGGGCGGGAGCGCGCCGGGGAGCCCCUCUGCCUUCCCCCGCCCCGCAUCCCCCUGCAGCACCCCACGGCACCGAGCGUCGCCGCCCCACGGCACCAGGUCCCCCGAGGGCAGCCCCACGGCCCUGGGGCGGCUCCGUCGCACCCUCACCUUCGAGGAGGAACCGGAAUAAAACGGGGCCGCCCCACGGCGCGGCUUUAUUGGCUGGGGUGGGCGCUGAUUGGACGGCACGGCGGCGGGGAGGAGUGCUGAUUGGCCGGCGGGGCAGCAGCGAGAGUCCUGAUUGGCCGCGUGGAGAUCAAACGGAGACGUGGUUGGCUGGUGGGAGGGCAGCGAGGGGUCUGAUUGGCUGGCGAGCAGCACGGCGACAUCCAGGAGGAGGAGGUGGGGAGCGCUGAUUGGCUGGCGGCGUGGUGAUGCUGAUUGGUUGGCGGAGAGCUGGCGAGGAGGCUGGCGAUGCUGAUUGGCUGGCAGAUGAAUAAAGAUGGCGAUUGGCUGAGAAAUCGAGAACGC